rnacentral:misc_RNA from 1 species
GAUGAAGAACGUAGCGAAAUGCGAUAAUUAAUGUGAAUUGCAGAAUUCAGUGAAUCAUCGAAUCUUUGAACGCACAUUGCGCCCGCCAGUAUUCUGGCGGGCAUGCCUGUUCGAGCGUCAUUUCAACCCUCAAGCCCCCGGGCUUGGUGUUGGGGAUCGGCGUGCCCUCGCGGCGCGCCGUCCCCUAAAUCUAGUGGCGGUCUCGCUGUAGCUUCCUCUGCGUAGUAGCAACACUCGCACUGGAUCGCAGCGCGGCCACGCCGUUAAACCCCCCACUUCUGAAAGUUUGACCUCGGAUCAGGUAGGAAUACCCGCUGAACUUAAGCAUAUCAAUAAGCGGAGGA